rnacentral:rRNA from 1 species
UACGGAGGGGCUAGCGUUGUUCGGAAUUACUGGGCGUAAAGCGCACGUAGGCGGCUUUGUAAGUUAGAGGUGAAAGCCCAGGGCUUAACCCUGGAAUUGCCUUUAAGACUGCAUCGCUAGAAUCGUGGAGAGGUGAGUGGAAUUCCGAGUGUAGAGGUGAAAUUCGUAGAUAUUCGGAAGAACACCAGUGGCGAAGGCGACUCACUGGACACGUAUUGACGCUGAGGUGCGAAAGCGUGGGGAGCAAACAGG